GGUCAAGCGAACAAGUGCAUGUGGUGGAUGCCUUGGCGAUCACAGGCGAUGAAGGACGCGGUAGCCUGCGAAAAGCUACGGGGAGCUGGCAAACGAGCUUUGAUCCGUAGAUGUCCGAAUGGGGAAACCCACUCCUUUUGGAGUAUCCAUGGCUGAAUACAUAGGCCAUGUGAAGCGAACGCGGUGAACUGAAACAUCUAAGUAACCGCAGGAAAAGAAAUCAACCGAGAUUCCCAAAGUAGUGGCGAGCGAAAUGGGAUGAGCCUUGUACUCUUUAUUUGUAUUGUUAGCCGAACGCUCUGGAAAGUGCGGCCAUAGCAGGUGAUAGCCCUGUAGGCGAAAACAGUAUGAAAGAACUAAGUGUACGACAAGUAGGGCGGGACACGUGAAAUCCUGUCUGAAGAUGGGGGGACCAUCCUCCAAGGCUAAAUACUCGUGAUCGACCGAUAGUGAACCAGUACCGUGAGGGAAAGGCGAAAAGAACCCCGGGAGGGGAGUGAAAUAGAUCCUGAAACCGCAUGCAUACAAACAGUCGGAGCCUCGUAAGGGGUGACGGCGUACCUUUUGUAUAAUGGGUCAGCGACUUACGUUCAGUAGCAAGCUUAACCGUAUAGGGCAGGCGUAGCGAAAGCGAGUCCGAAUAGGGCGUUCAGUUGCUGGGCGUAGACCCGAAACCAAGUGAUCUAUCCAUGGCCAGGAUGAAGGUGCGGUAACACGUACUGGAGGUCCGAACCCACUAACGUUGAAAAGUUAGGGGAUGAGCUGUGGAUAGGGGUGAAAGGCUAAACAAACUUGGAAAUAGCUGGUUCUCUCCGAAAACUAUUUAGGUAGUGCCUCGUGUCUCACCUUCGGGGGUAGAGCACUGUCAUGGUUGGGGGGUCUAUUGCAGAUUACCCCGCCAUAGCAAACUCCGAAUACCGAAGAGUGCAAUCACGGGAGACAGACAUCGGGUGCUAACGUCCGGUGUCAAGAGGGAAACAACCCAGACCGCCAGCUAAGGUCCCCAAAUAUAGCUAAGUGGGAAACGAAGUGGGAAGGCUAAAACAGUCAGGAGGUUGGCUUAGAAGCAGCCACCCUUUAAAGAAAGCGUAAUAGCUCACUGAUCGAGUCGUCCUGCGCGGAAGAUGUAACGGGGCUAAGCUAUAUACCGAAGCUGCGGAUGCG
rnacentral:rRNA from 1 species